UACGGAGGGUGCGAGCGUUGUCCGGAAUCACUGGGCGUAAAGGGCGCGUAGGCGGCCUGUUAAGUAGGGGGUGAAAUCCUGCGGCUUAACCGCAGGGCUGCCUUCUAAACUGUCAGGCUAGAGCACGGUAGAGGCAGAUGGAAUUCCCGGUGUAGCGGUGGAAUGCGUAGAGAUCGGGAAGAACAUCAGUGGCGAAGGCGGUCUGCUGGGCCGGUGCUGACGCUGAGGCGCGACAGCGUGGGGAGCAAACAGG
rnacentral:rRNA from 1 species